UACGUAGGGGUGCAAGCGUUUAAUCGGAAUUACUGGGCGUAAAGCGUGCGCAGGCGGUUUUGUAAGUCUGUCGUGAAAUCCCCCGGGCUCAACCUGGGAAUUGCGAUGGAGACUGCAAGGCUAGAAUCUGGCAGAGGGGGGUAGAAUUCCACGUGUAGCAGUGAAAUGCGUAGAGAUGUGGAGGAACACCGAUGGCGAAGGCAGCCCCC
rnacentral:rRNA from 1 species